UCCUGCCGGACCUGACUGCUAUCGGAUUGAUACUAAGCCAUGCGAGUCUUUGUAGUAAUACAAGGCAGACGGCUCAGUAACACGUAGUCAACCUACCCUAUGGACAAGAAUAAUCUCGGGAAACUGGGUAUAAUUCUUGAUAGAUCAUAAUGCCUGGAAUGGUUUAUGGUUAAAAUGAUUCGUCGCCAUAGGAUGGGACUGCGGCCUAUCAGCUUGUUGGUGAGGUAAUGGCCCACCAAGGCGAUUACAGGUACGGGCUCUGAGAGGAGAAGCCCGGAGAUGGGUACUGAGACACGGACCCAGGCCCUAUGGGGCGCAGCAGGCGAGAAAACUUUGCAAUGUGCGAAAGCACGACAAGGUUAAUCCGAGUGAUUUCUGCUAAAGAAAUCUUUUGUCAGUCGUAAAACCACUGGCGAAUAAGGGGUGGGCAAGUUCUGGUGUCAGCCGCCGCGGUAAAACCAGCACCUCAAGUGGUCAGGAUGAUUAUUGGGCCUAAAGCAUCCGUAGCCGGCUUUGUAAGUUUUCGGUUAAAUCCAUGUGCUCAACGCAUGGGCUGCCGAAAAUACUGCAUGGCUAGGGAGUGGGAGAGGUAGACGGUACUCAGUAGGAAGGGGUAAAAUCCUUUGAUCUAUUGAUGACCACCUGUGGCGAAGGCGGUCUACCAGAACACGUUCGACGGUGAGGGAUGAAAGCUGGGGGAGCAAACCGGAUUAGAUACCCGGGUAGUCCCAGCCGUAAACGAUGCAGACUCGAUGAUGCAUUGGCAUAAUAGCCAAUGCAGUGUCGCAGGGAAGCCGUUAAGUCUGCCGCCUGGGAAGUACGUACGCAAGUAUGAAACUUAAAGGAAUUGGCGGGGGAGCACCAC
rnacentral:rRNA from 1 species